rnacentral:lncRNA from 1 species
UUUUUUUUUUUGUUUAAGGGGAGUUCAUAAGAUUUCUUUUAAAAUGUCAAUUCGGUAUUAAACUAGAAGUUUUACAUCAUUAUAUUAGAACCUGAUUAAACUAAACCCACAAAAAUAGGUUUGACAAACAAUUCAUACAUGUAUCAGCCCUUGUUAAAAUGAAAUCUUCGCCUAUAUGUACAAUAAAUUUCAAAAAACUAAAGUCACAGCUUAGACGUAAAGUGAGCAAAAUAUACUUGAAUUUAUAUUUUGAAGAAAUGAAGACAGUCGAAGCAUAAAAGCAUUGAAAUUUGCACCAUGUGAAAUUAUAUAUUUAUAUAGAACACAGGUUGUAGAAAUGCUUUCUUUAUAUGCGGUUUGUGUCAAAGCGGGUAUAAUUAAUAAGAAUUUUUCAGCUCACUGAUAUGGGCGAAAUUGACCCAACUCCUAUUGCAUGGCUACAUGCAUAUAAGAUGCUACAAAAGUCACUAGCUCUCUCUUUCACUAGUUGUAUAUCAUUCUCACCUCUAAUAAUAAAAUUUACAUCAUUUCAAUGUAUCAGCCAAAACUCAUACAUUGUUCAGCAACGGUGAUCAAAUUGUGACUAGGCAUCGCAAAACAUAACAAGUAAAAGAUGCUCUAGAAUAACUGAGAGCCUCUCUCUGCACUAGCUCAGUUGUUGCCGUCGUGCUAUCUAUUUUCUUCUCGGACACAUAUUUGCGCUUUCAAAUGUAGCAAGAGACUUAAUC